AGUAUAGUCUCCUAAAUACACUAAGCCCUAUACAAGGGCUUUUU
rnacentral:sRNA from 19 species